GGGUGUAUACAUUUUUUUCGGUUAAUUAUAUGGUAUGGAGUGGGUAGAAUCGUGAUUGUGUUUCUUUCUAUCUCCGCGGGGUUCAAAAAAAUGGGAAAUGCAGCAAUAUGCACGUGAAGAUCGUACAAGAAUGGUAAGAGUUGCAGCCUUGCACGCACCGCAAUCACGCUAUACAACCAACAUUGUCUAUCUGCUAACAAUAUUUAUUCCAUACGUUUUAAUAUUCUGAUAUUCUCCCUUUUCUGUUCCUUUUCGAUCAACGAGAAUCC
rnacentral:lncRNA from 1 species